CUACAGAGGGUGCAAGCGUUAAUCGGAUUUACUGGGCGUAAAGCGCGCGUAGGUGGCUAAUUAAGUCAAAUGUGAAAUCCCCGAGCUUAACUUGGGAAUUGCAUUCGAUACUGGUUAGCUAGAGUAUGGGAGAGGAUGGUAGAAUUCCAGGUGUAGCGGUGAAAUGCGUAGAGAUCUGGAGGAAUACCGAUGGCGAAGGCAGCCAUCUGGCCUAAUACUGACACUGAGGUGCGAAAGCAUGGGGAGCAAACAGGAUUAGAUACCCUGGUAGUCCAUGCCGUAAACGAUGUCUACUAGCCGUUGGGGCCCUUGAGGCUUUAGUGGCGCAGCUAACGCGAUAAGUAGACCGCCUGGGGAGUACGGUCGCAAGACUAAAACUCAAAUGAAUUGGCGGGG
rnacentral:rRNA from 1 species